GUUUUGCUGAAUCCCGAUUCAUUGCAAGAAGUUUAUUUAGCUUUUGUUGAAUACUUUGCACUCUCUUCACCAUUACCUAGAUGAUCUUGAAUCUACGUUUCCAGGCCUCAGUCAUGUGCAUCCAGCUGCUGCACCGGUGGGCCUUGAUCCUGCACCUGCGAGCACCACUCAAGCGUCAUCUUCAGACACCUCCCUUAUUCUUCGAGAAUUGUGUAUUAUAAAACGGCAGCUCCGGACUGUCACAAGAUUGAUUGCACAAUGCCAAAAGCCAACUUCAAUUGAGGAGGAAUUGAAUGCGUUGCUGCCACUGAAAACUGAGGAGGAUGUUGAUGAACUUGAAAGAAAGCUGCGGUCAAGCCAACAAUUUUACACGCAAAUGGUCAAUCUGCUCACUGGCGUUGGAGGCAGUAACGUUAAUUCUGCAGCAUCCCGUGUGAUGGCCAGGCUGUUCGAGGAUCAGCUUGGACAAAAGUACAGCCUGUACGGACAGAAGGGGAAGCUAGCGUUUUCCAACUUGCAGCUUUUCACUGUACUCCAGAAGGCUGUCCGGCAGAUGCCAGGGAUGUCAAUGGCCUCACUCCGAAACAUUCAAGAUGGUGUAAAGACAUGGCUGAAGAAUUGCCCGGCACGUGUCAAGACUGCUGCGAAGAAGUAAGACAGUAGCCUCUUACACACACAUUACCAAAAUAUUUAUUCCUUUCUCCAUAAAUGUGGUUUUGCAAGAUGAGGUCCCAAGCAUGAUGCAAGAAAUGCAUUUAUAUUUUCGCUUGUCAGCUGAAAAUUGGCACAUAUUUUCCUAUAGUGACAACGUAACAUUGCA